CAGCCGCCACGGUAAUACAGAGGGUGCAAGCGUUAAUCGGAAUUACUGGGCGUAAAGCGCGCGUAGGUGGUUCGCCAAGUUGGAUGUGAAAUCCCCGGGCUCAACCUGGGAACUGCAUCCAAAACUGGCGAGCUAGAGUAUGGUAGAGGGUGGUGGAAUUUCCUGUGUAGCGGUGAAAUGCGUAGAUAUAGGAAGGAACAUCAGUGGCGAAGGCGACCACCUGGACUGAUACUGACACUGAGGUGCGAAAGCGUGGGGAGCAAACAGGAUUAGAUACCCCAGUAGUCCCUGUCUCUUAUAA
rnacentral:rRNA from 1 species